CCCAGGGUAGCCUAGUGGUUAUGACAUCUGCCCGGUAAGCGGAACACUGUGGGUUCGAUUCUCAUCCCUGGUU